CUGUCUUCUGUCAAGGAUGCUCCUGCCAGCACGGCCUCAAGAUAUACCAGAUCUAUCCAGGGAGGAGUUGGCACCGGCACUUAUAGAAUGGCAGGCUAUGCUAGCGUGAUCCCCGGAUUUUUCCUACUUGGUACUCAUGGGCAUCUGCUCGCACAUUCAGCUCCUGGCGUGGAGGGGCCCAGGACGGGCUGAGCCAGACUUAGUAUCACAUGGGAAGACAAGUCACUGGUGAGAUCCUCAGUCAGUGAGGAUCGGGAGGGGGAGAAGAUCUUUCCAAAGUAUCCCACCUGAAUUCUCAAUGACAGGCCCCAUACAAAGCAUCAGGUGGCGUCUCUGAUAACAGGGAUCUGUCGGUGACAUUGGGUACACACCAGGCUUUAAACAAGACCAAGAAGACAUUAAAACUCUAAAGUUAAAUUAAUAGAGAAGAUUCUCCGAGAUGCUAAACCACGUGGACCUGGAAAGUCUUCCCUCCUUGUUGGCAACCGGGUGCUUGCCUCCUGCCGUCCUGGCUGAGGACCGUGCCUUAGCUCCUGCUCUACAAAAUACAAUGUUGCCAUGACAUAACGCUGGUCUCCAGGGAGCCUCUCAGCCUCGGUGGGAUCUUAUGAAUUUGGAUAUUCAAGAGAGCAGCUUGGACCCACUGUGGCUGGGAGAAUAAACUGCCCACUAAGAUCUGUGGGAGAGUGAAUUAUCCACUAAGGGCUGAGUGGGCUGUGCUUCGCCAACUUUGUUUUCUGUUUAUUUGGAACCGUUACACCGCAGCAGGGGCCUCUCUGGAGUGACCUUUUCAUGAUGCAAAAAUUAGUUUGGGGAAGUUCAAAUUCCCCAAAUGGAACAAUAAUCAGAUGAAAUGACCACAAAGGAAUAAAUUUGCUUCCGAAAUAAAAAGGUACUUAACAAAUGAUUCAUCAUUCCACGCUCUGACCUUAAAUAGAUCUCUCUUUGGCUUCACUGACUAGAAGUCAGUUCUUUUGCUGCCUUUGUUUUUUGUAUAUAACAAGGUUUGUGUGUUUCAUGACAUAGUCUUACUGCUUGUUCAUGUUAUGUCGUAGUUCCCCAAAACAAUCCAGCAAAGUAAGAACUGGUGUUUAGUAAGUGCCUAUGAUGAGCUGAGAGCUCCAUCGCAUGCCUCCUAUACAUUAUCAUAGCGAAUAUUCCAAACUUAGAGGUGGAUGUUCUUGUUCCCAUUUAACAGAUGGCAAAGCUGAGGACUAAAGUAUUCGCAUAAUUCACAUAAUUCUGAGUCAUUUAACUUACAGAACCUGGAUUUCUAACUCACAGUCUGACUCCAUAGUGUUCUUAUUUAUCAAGGUACACACACACACACAAAACACAACAGAAACACUCACACACACAUACUCACAUACCACCACACACACAUAUUCACAUGCCACACCAUAUCAUACACACAGACACACUCCCCCCACACACUCAUACACCCUUACACACCACAUGAGACACAUGCACACUCACACAUAUAUAUUAGGUAAAUGUCAAAACUAACUACUAAAAUUAGUAUAAUCGUGCUAAAAAUGCCAUCAUUUAAAAUUAUGCAGUAAAAAUACCUAAGACAAAAAAUGUGUAGAUUUUUUUGUUUAAAAAAUCUAUCUGUUCUGAAAUACUGAUUUUUUUUUGUAUACUAAAUGGUGGGUUUUUAAGUUGCCUAGUAAGUAAGUUUUGUUCUCAGCUGUCUCCCAGAAGAGCUCACCAAAAAUACUGCACAGAAGCGAAGGUGUGGGGGCCCAUUUUAAACCAAAUUAUUCUCCUCAAGGCAAAGCUAUGAAAGAGGAUGGCAGCUUGCUGCAAGCCAGACAUGAUGGUUGCAUCAUGAAUCCCACUAAAGAGGCCCAGGCAGGGGGAUUAUGAGUUCUAGGCCAGUGUAAUUACACAGGCAGUGGGGCACGAGUCAGAUUACAGCCAACCCUUUACAGACUGCAGAACUGAAAAAAAAAGAAAAAGAAAAGCAAACGAUUGUGUUGGUUCUCAUUGAUGUAGCCAAUGGGGGGAGGGGGGGCUGCAAGGCCAAAGGCACUGCGCUCUCUCAGGACUCCUGCACAUGCCACUUGAGUCUCUAAUCUCAGAUGACAUUAGUUAGGGAACACAGAUAAUGAAACAGGUAGAGCAUGCUUCCCAAGUUCCCCAAGAGCUCCAGUUUAGCUCUUAUCUGACAGCACAGGGCACCCCAACUUUUGUGCCUCAAACUCUCAGGAAGACUUUCUUGUGAAGUCUUUUUCUAGUCAGAUAUGGUUUUAUUUAUUUAUUUAUUUAUUUAUUUAUUUAUUUAUUUAGUCUUCAGAGUUAGAUUUCAUACGGCACUUUGGAAAACCCACACCAGCAUAUGUCAAUGAUGGGAUUUUUAUUUGUAUGGUUAAAUGCCAUGGUUAGUCAAGAUCUAUUUUACCUAAGCCAAUUGAAAAACACAAAUAAAG
rnacentral:lncRNA from 1 species